AGUAAGAGGGAACUGCAAAGGAACGAAGGUUAAGGGAAUCUUCUUCAUAUUCGGAAAUCUGCAUAGCAGGUAAUGCAUUGUCUAUAGCAGAAAAUACUGGUGUCGCAAAUGCUAACGGAGCAUUUAAAGGAAACCAAGACAUACAAGCUGAAGAAUAGGUUGCACCAAAGAGCUGAAACUUCCCUCUAACGCUACGAAAAAUGAAGGUACCAACCAUUGCUAAUUUUUGAUCUUUAUGUAAUCCAACGUAUAGCGUAUCUUUAACCCUGAAUGAAUUUUCUUCCGUAAUUUUAAUCACCGGAAUGGCAUCGUUAGACGAUUGUGGGCUAUGUGGAACGUUUUCACUUACGGUUUCGUCGUCCAAGUUUAAAGGUAAACUCGGAGAAAUCGUUUGAGGACUAGCAACUGAGAAUUCAGAGUAUUCCUGAGGAUUAACCUUGGACCUAUUUAUAUCAGGAGUUAUUUCAGAAUCAUUCUUGGAUGACUCUGAAUGGAGCUUUGUUCUAUGAUCAACUCCUGGGACAACCACUUGUACGAGCGUGUGCUUGUAAGAAGGAAAUUCGCCUUCAGUUUUCAUUUCGUCUUCAUAUUUGUCUUGGCUUUCUUCUUCCGAAACGCUGCGCUUUUUCCCCGAUGAAUUGUCUUUCUUUCUGGCUGCUUUACUUAAAGUCAAUUGACGCACAGCGAAUGCACUGAGUGGAACUGUCAUAGAACUGUUAGAAUAUUAUCCUAGAAAAGAUAUAAGAGAGCCAAUACUUAAGACUAACUAAGACACUUACCAUUUGAGCUCUCAAUAC